rfam:Triticum aestivum genome assembly, contig: Triticum_aestivum_CS42_TGACv1_scaffold_158456_2DL
GACAGGAAGAUGAAGUAACGAGGGCCUAAGAGCAGUGUGCAUGGGAACAUGAUGGAAGGCUAAAGCUCUCGUUUCUCGUCUAACACUAGAGGAUGCUUUGGUCUGAGUUUUCCUGAUGCCUCCCAUGCCUAUUGUUCUUUGGUGCUCCUUCCUCUUCCUUUUGGAU